rnacentral:rRNA from 1 species
ACGCUGACACCUACGGGAAGCAGCAGUGGGGAAUAUUGCACAAUGGGGGGAACCCUGAUGCAGCGACGCCGCGUGAGGGAAGAAGGUUUUUCGGAUUGUAAACCUCUGUCCUUGGUGACGAUAAUGACGGUAGCCAAGGAGGAAGCCACGGCUAACUACGUGCCAGCAGCCGCGGUAAUCUGAGCGGGCUGGCAAGGC